rnacentral:rRNA from 1 species
ACCUUACCUACUCUUGACAUCCAGAGAACUUUCCAGAGAUGGAUUGGUGCCUUCGGGAACUCUGAGACAGGUGCUGCAUGGCUGUCGUCAGCUCGUGUUGUGAAAUGUUGGGUUAAGUCCCGCAACGAGCGCAACCCUUAUCCUUUGUUGCCAGCGGUUAGGCCGGGAACUCAAAGGAGACUGCCAGUGAUAAACUGGAGGAAGGUGGGGAUGACGUCAAGUCAUCAUGGCCCUUACGAGUAGGGCUACACACGUGCUACAAUGGCGCAUACAAAGAGAAGCGACCUCGCGAGAGCAAGCGGACCUCAUAAAGUGCGUCGUAGUCCGGAUUGGAGUCUGCAACUCGACUCCAUGAAGUCGGAAUCGCUAGUAAU